GAUCUCUGGAUUGGACCUCAUGGAAUAAUGUUUUGAAUUGAACCUCAUAAUAUGAUGUGGAGCACUAGAUCUGUAGAUUGGAUGGACUUGGUCUGAUGAAAAAAGCACUUAAAUUUAUAAACUGAUUUUUGCCAACAAAGGUUAUGAAAGGGCAGUGCAGAUCACAAACUUAUAAGUGAAAAAAUAUGACCUGCUGCUCCGAACUCAGCUAAAAGUACUUUUGAAAUCUUUGCAUUAAACUGUUAAAGAUUAAUUUGUCUCUAGUUACUUGAUUUGAUUCAAUUCAGUUCGAUGGCAAGAUUACUUAUUAAAGUAGUCACAUUAAUUUGGUUAAUAUUCAACUACUUAUCUAACCGAGCUUGGAUUACAUGAAAUCAUGGUCAUUUGAUCGAUGUCAAAAAAGUAACUAAUCAUGAAUGGCAUUUUGAAAC
rnacentral:lncRNA from 1 species